rnacentral:rRNA from 1 species
GACGAACGCUGGCGGCGUGCCUAAUACAUGCAAGUAGAACGCUGAAGGAGGAGCUUGCUCUUCUGGAUGAGUUGCGAACGGGUGAGUAACGCGUAGGUAACCUGCCUGGUAGCGGGGGAUAACUAUUGGAAACGAUAGCUAAUACCGCAUAACAGUAGAUGUUGCAUGACAUUUACUUAAAAGGUGCAAUUGCAUCACUACCAGAUGGACCUGCGUUGUAUUAGCUAGUUGGUGGGGUAACGGCUCACCAAGGCGACGAUCCAUAGCCGACCUGAGAGGGUGAUCGGCCACACUGGGACUGGGACACGGCCCAGACUCCUACGGGAGGCAGCAGUAGGGAAUCGUCGGCAAUGGACGGAAGUCUGACCGAGCAACGCCGCGUGAGGGAAGAAGGUUGUCGGAUCGUAAAGCUCGGUUGUAAGGGAAGAACGAGUGUGAGAGUGGAAAGUUCACACUGUGACGGUAGCUUACCAGAAAGGGACGGCUAACUACGUG